rnacentral:rRNA from 1 species
GACGAACGCUGGCGGCGUGCUUAACACAUGCAAGUCGAACGGAAAGGCCCUGCUUUUGUGGGGUGCUCGAGUGGCAAACGGGUGAGUAACACGUGAGUAACCUGCCCUUGACUUUGGGAUAACUUCAGGAAACUGGGGCUAAUACCGGAUAGGAGCUCCUGCUGCAUGGUGGGGGUUGGAAAGUUUCGGCGGUUGGGGAUGGACUCGCGGCUUAUCAGCUUGUUGGUGGGGUAGUGGCUUACCAAGGCUUUGACGGGUAGCUGGCCUGAGAGGGUGACCGGCCACAUUGGGACUGAGAUACGGCCCAGACUCCUACGGUAGGCAGCAGUGGGGAAUAUUGCACAAUGGGCGGAAGCCUGAUGCAGCAACGCCGCGUGCGGGAUGACGGCCUUCGGGUUGUAAACCGCUUUCGCCUGUGACGAAGCGUGAGUGACGGUAAUGGGUAAAGAAGCACCGGCUAACUACGUG